rnacentral:rRNA from 1 species
CCUACGGGGGGCUGCAGUGGGGAAUAUUGGACAAUGGGGGCAACCCUGAUCCAGCCAUGCCGCGUGUGUGAAGAAGGCCCUCGGGUUGUAAAGCACUUUCAGUGAGGAAGAACGCCUGGUGGUUAAUACCCAUCAGGAAAGACAUCACUCACAGAAGAAGCACCGGCUAACUCCGUGCCAGCAGCCGCGGUAAUACGGAGGGUGCGAGCGUUAAUCGGAAUUACUGGGCGUAAAGCGCGCGUAGGUGGCUUGAUAAGCCGGUUGUGAAAGCCCCGGGCUCAACCUGGGAACGGCAUCCGGAACUGUCAAGCUAGAGUGCAGGAGAGGAAGGUAGAAUUCCCGGUGUAGCGGUGAAAUGCGUAGAGAUGGGGAGGAAUACCAGUGGCGAAGGCGGCCUUCUGGACUGACACUGACACUGAGGUGCGAAAGCGUGGGUAGCAAACAGGAUUAGAUACCCCAGUAGUC